rnacentral:rRNA from 1 species
CCAACCGGGAUUGCCUUAGUAACGGCGAGUGAAGCGGCAAAAGCUCAAAUUUGAAAUCUGGUACCUUCGGUGCCCGAGUUGUAAUUUGGAGAGGGCAACUUUGGGGCCGUUCCUUGUCUAUGUUCCUUGGAACAGGACGUCAUAGAGGGUGAGAAUCCCGUGUGGCGAGGAGUGCGGUUCUUUGUAAAGUGCCUUCGAAGAGUCGAGUUGUUUGGGAAUGCAGCUCUAAGUGGGUGGUAAAUUCCAUCUAAAGCUAAAUAUUGGCGAGAGACCGAUAGCGAACAAGUACAGUGAUGGAAAGAUGAAAAGAACUUUGAAAAGAGAGUGAAAAAGUACGUGAAAUUGUUGAAAGGGAAGGGCAUUUGAUCAGACAUGGUGUUUUGUGCCCUCUGCUCCUUGUGGGUAGGGGAAUCUCGCAUUUCACUGGGCCAGCAUCAGUUUUGGUGGCAGGAUAAAUCCAUAGGAAUGUAGCUUGCCUCGGUAAGUAUUAUAGCCUGUGGGAAUACUGCCAGCUGGGACUGAGGACUGCGACGUAAGUCAAGGAUGCUGGCAUAAUGGUUAUAUGCCGCCCGUCUUGAAACACGGACCUCCUGUGUGAAGUG